rnacentral:rRNA from 1 species
UACGGAGGAUCCAAGCGUUAUCCGGAUUUAUUGGGUUUAAAGGGUGCGUAGGCGGCCUAUUAAGUCAGGGGUGAAAGACGGUAGCUUAACUAUCGCAGUGCCUGUGAUACUGAUGGGCUUGAAUGUACUUGAGGUAGGCGGAAUGUGACAAGUAGCGGUGAAAUGCAUAGAUAUGUCACAGAACACCAAUUGCGAAGGCAGCUUACUAAAGUAUGAUUGACGCUGAGGCACGAAAGCGUGGGGAUCAAACAGG